rnacentral:rRNA from 1 species
GACGAACGCUGGCGGCGUGCCUAAUACAUGCAAGUAGAACGCUGAAGGAGGAGCUUGCUUCUCCGGAUGAGUUGCGAACGGGUGAGUAACGCGUAGGUAACCUGCCUGGUAGCGGGGGAUAACUAUUGGAAACGAUAGCUAAUACCGCAUAACAGUAGAUGUUGCAUGACAUUUGCUUAAAAGGUGCAAUUGCAUCACUACCAGAUGGACCCGCGUUGUAUUAGCUAGUUGGUGAGGUAACGGCUCACCAAGGCGACGAUACAUAGCCGACCUGAGAGGGUGAUCGGCCACACUGGGACUGAGACACGGCCCAGACUCCUACGGGAGGCAGCAGUAGGGAAUCUUCGGCAAUUGACGGAAGUCUGACCGAGCAACGCCGCGUGAGUGAAGAAGGUUUUCGGAUCGUAAAGCUCUGUUGUAAGAGAAGAACGAGUGUGAGAGGGGAAAGUUCACACUGUGACGGUAUCUUACCAGAAAGAGACGGCUAACUACGUG